rnacentral:rRNA from 1 species
CAAGUCGCACGAGAAAGUGGCUUCGGCCAUGAGUAAAGUGGCGCACGGGUGAGUAACACGUGAAUGAUCUACCUCCGAGUGGGGAAUAACUGAGAGAAAUCUUAGCUAAUACCGCAUAACACUUACGAGUCAAAGCAGCAAUGCGCUUGGAGAGGAGUUCGCGGCAGAUUAGUUAGUUGGCAGGGUAAUGGCCUACCAAGACGAUGAUCUGUAUCCGGCCUGAGAGGGCGCACGGACACACUGGAACUGAAACACGGUCCAGACUCCUACGGGAGGCAGCAGUGGGGAAUUUUGCGCAAUGGGGGAAACCCUGACGCAGCAACGCCGCGUGGAGGAUGAAAUCCCUUGGGAUGUAAACUCCUUUCGAUAGGGAAGAUUAUGACGGUACCUAUAGAAGAAGCCCCGGCUAACUUCGUGCCAGCAGCCGCGGUAAUACGAGGGGGGCAAGCGUUGUUCGGAUUUAUUGGGCGUAAAGGGUGCGUAGGCGGUUUGGCAAGUCUUGUGUGAAAUCUUUGGGCUCAACCCAAAGCCUGCACAAGAAACUGCCGGGCUUGAGUAUGGGAGAGGUGAGUGGAAUUUCCGGUGUAGCGGUGAAAUGCGUAGAUAUCGGAAGGAACACCUGUGGCGAAAGCGGCUCACUGGACCAUUACUGACGCUGAGGCACGAAAGCUAGGGGAGCAAACAGGAUUAGAUACCCUGGUAGUCCUAGCCCUAAACGAUGAUUGCUUGGUGUGGCAGGUACCCAAUCCUGCCGUGCCGAAGCUAACGCGAUAAGCAAUCCGCCUGGGGAGUACGGUCGCAAGGCUGAAACUCAA